rnacentral:piRNA from 1 species
UCCAGAGAGUUGAGGUCCAAAAUGGUGU